AUCUUCUGUAGUCGGUUCUGGACACAGCGCAGCCAGGUGCCAUAUGUGUUCUCAACUUGGUUAAACAGGUUGUUCUCCCCGAAGGAGAAGAUUGGCACGAGGGCUGCCCUAGAGGACACGGGAGUAUGGGAGAAUCCAGAAAGGCACAGAUGGAAAGGUCACCCAGCCAGGAACUGGAGCAGAUCUGCCUUGAGCCCUCUCCUCUGACCUUCAGAGAGCCUUUUCAGGCCCCCAGUCUCUCAUGUGGCUACCAUGACAGGUAGAUCAGAAGGUUCUAGAGCCUCCUCCUCAGUGCAAAACAUUUUUACUUUUCACCUAGAAAAAUCUCCUCCUUGUGCCAGCUGGCUGCUCAGCUUCCUCAAAGAUGCCUCUCCCCACGGUGGGUGAGCAGCUCUGCAGUAAGCUCCCGGCCCUACCCUUCCAGAUUCCCAAAGGUCUCAGGGCUCACACCAGCAGCAGGAAACAUGUCCCUUCUCACCACUGAUUCCCCCAGUCUCCUUUAUGGACAUGUAUCUAGAAACUUGGCUGUGAGGCACCAACUUACAAUUGUCGUCAUAUGGCCUGAGAAUCUCCUUGCCAAAAUAGAAGCUAUCAUCAUCUUUGCUGUCUCCCCAACCCAGAGUGUUGUCCCCAGAAUUCCAUACCCAUAUAUCAGGGCAAGCCUGAUGAAGCCCUUGCGAUUCUUCAGCAGCAGCCUGUAGGCUCCAGGCCUGGCAUCCAGUGCCUCCUGGGAGCCCCCAACAAUGAUGGCUAGCAAGUUCCCACCGCCCUUCCUGUUCAGGAUGUGACCAGCACUCUCCUUUUCGGAUGUGACCAGCCCUAGGGAGAGAGCAAGGUGAGUCAGACACCAGGCGAAGGGGCGGGGACUGUGAAAAUGAGAACAGCCCAAGAAAGAAACCAUCAACAAUGCUCACAGAGCCAGGAUUCCCCCAACAACACCCCCACCAGCUGGGGAUCUCUGUACCCUCUUCCUCUUCCCAUGCCAGCAUGGGCUUUCCCAGCACAGCGAUGCAGGAAGUUCUUUGGGUCUAGCCUCUGCUGUUGCUGAACAAGCACUUGGAAGGAACACAGAACUACUGACAGCCCAUUCCCAGAUGCCCCUGCCCACCCAGCAGCCUCAUCUUCCUGAGCUACUUGGGGCCAGGGUGAGGAGACUCACCCCCACUCAUGAUGUAAUCCCGGAAGAAGGGAGCCCGGAACCACAGAGUUAGCAUCAUCAGGGCAGAAACUUACCCUGACCGGUCAGGCCUGAAGCAUCAAGGGCCCAGAGUUACCACCGGAAACGGAAUGAGAGCCACAUGCCAUCAAACAGUUCUCAGUGAAGUGGGGUGAGGAACAGGGCUUGUCUGGGUAAACUGGGAAUGAGGCAGACGAGGGAGGCCACAGAGGAGUAUGAAGCAAGCCAGGACGGCGUGUUACGUGAACAGCAAGAAGCAGUGCAGUGGAGGAGAAGAAACACCACUGCUUAUGACUGCACCAAACACUCAUGGUCAGCUGCUCCCAGGGAUGGGAUCUGGGGUGAUGGAUAUGCCUAGAAUGGGGAGUAGGGAAUCUGUGUGUGUGUGUGUGUGUGUGUGUGUGUGUGUGUGUGUGUGUGUGUGUGUGUAGGUCAGAGGACAACCUCAGGUAUCACUUACAUCCUUUGAGACAAGAGUCUCUCAUUUGGCCCAGCAUUCACAAGUGAGGCUAGACUAUCUGGCCAGCGAACCCCGGGGGGUCCUCUGUUUCCACCCCAGCGACAGGAUUAAAGUGAGCAUUACAACCUGGCGUUUUUACACUAGUGCUGGGCAUCAAAUUCGAGUCCCUGGGCUUGUGAGGCAAGCUCUUUACUGCCUGAGCCAUUCUCCAGUCCUAAAAUGGAGUCUUUCAUGCCUGCUUUUUUGUUCUCUGGAAUAUUGAACAAGAACACAUCACUACUUUAAAUAAAUAAGUGAACAAAUGAAUAAUUGCACCCUUGAUAACGAAGCAUCUGUGUACAGAGAAAUAUCCUGGUGAGGAUGGGGACCAAGUGAGCUGGCAUUUGCAUACGUAUUUACAGGCACACAUGCAAGUGUGUGCACUGGAGGGUGAUUGUGGUCCCACUGAGGCCCAGUUUGAGCUUUCCCAGAGGUGGUUUCUACGGGUGUCUUCUGUGCUAACUGUCCCGCUGAUCCCUGUUUCCCUGUGAAGCUCAGAGGUUAUGUGGUCACACAUGAUGGGAGAGAGGAGAUGCUUUGGGAAGAGCAGACCGAGGGAGAGAAGGAAGGAAGGCAGUGGGAGGGGCAGAUGUAGCUCCCUCAGAAGGAAGGCACCUCCAACCCAAUCCUGUCCUCACCUGGAUUCCACCGCAGGAGAGAGAGCCCUAAGCUAGGAGUCUAGGAGCUCAUCUCAGGGCUGUGCCUGGCUCCCGGCUCCUUGGUGCCUCGGUUGCAUUUGCUAACAGGGACAGCAGUGACACUUCCCUGCCAGGCUUGUUGAAGGUCCCAGGAGGCCGAGGAAGAAGAGGGGAGUUGGUGAAGUACAUGGGUCCCUCUGCAGUCCCGUCAGUUCUGCUAGAGGAGGGGAGGGUGGCUAAGCAAGGUGGUGGGUGUCUGGAGAAGUCCUGGCUGGGCCUGGCACUGGGCAGUAGCGGAGAGAAGAGAGCAGCCGAAUUGCUGGACUCUGGGACCACUCAUUUUUGUUGGUGUCAUGUGUAUACCAUAAGAUCCAGGCUUGAACAUGUGUGGUCGGGUGCACUCCGGACAGCUGUGCAACCUCACCACUGAUCUAGAGCACACUCAUGGCUCCAGAAGGGAACCCAUGCCCUUAUGACUCACUUCUUUCUCCCCAGCCCAGGUAACCUCUAAUCUGUCCUUCAGCCGGUUUGCCUGUUCUGGACAGUGUAUAAACGAAACCAUGCAUAUACGACCUUUGUAACUGGCUUCUUGGACUUACUGGCCUAUUUCCAAGGUCUCUUUCAUGCUGUGUCACAGAUCAGUACUUCACUCCUUUUUUUUUAUGACCAAAUAAUAUUCCAUCAUAUGGACAGACUGUGUUUUGUUUAUCAGCUGCUGAACACCUGAGUAGUCUCUGCUGUUUGGCUGUUAGGAACAACGUGGGCCUGAUAGGUAUGAACAUGUUUUCAGUUCUGAAGGAAGGUUCUGAAAUAUUGCUUUUAAUUGCAAGGUCCUUCUCCAUGCCUGCACAGAAGACCCGAACAUCACACAGUGCACUAUUACACUAGUUCAGCCCUGUCUCUCCACAUGUGCCCUGUGCCUUCUCAGACCUUCUGAGGCUCCCAUGCUCCAGAGUCCACUGUCCUCUCGGCUCUUUUGGGACACACCAAGCACCAGUACUGCUAGCUUGUGACACUUCCCAGGGCCCUAGGGGCUGGCUGCCGUGUGAGAGCGCCCUUGCGCAAGUGAGCAAAUGGAGGGCAGAGGGGAUGGGAGAAUCGCCCCAAACCAGAGGUGACUUGGAUUUGAGACCCGCCAUCUCCUUCAGAGAGCACAGGAGGGAUCCAGAAAGCCUUUGCUUCAGGACACAGGGCAUUCAGGACUAGCUUUGCAACUUUCUAGUCAACCUUGCAAAAGCCAGGUCCCUCCCCCAGGCUUCCGCAUCAGCAGCCUAUUCAACUGCUCCAACGGCACGUGGAUCAAUAUUCUCAUGUAGGAAAAGCGGUCCGUGGCCUACCUGUGCACAUAAAUUACUUGGCAGGAAGACAGGGUUUGAUUCAGUACAUCUGGUGCUGGCCUUGGGUGUAAAUUCCUUGUGUAUAUAGAUGUGUGCAAGUGUGUAUGUAUGUGUAUGCAUGUGUGUAUGGCUGGUUGGGUGGGCACAUGUGGGUAUGUAGGGCUGGAGCAACUUCCCUGUACCCUCCCCCACAGCCAGAUGGAUGGAUGAAGGAAAGGCUGGAUAUUCGAUUUGCGCCUGCUUGUAGUUCCCCGGGUGGCCCUGGGUCCGGGUUUGGCCUCUCCAGAUUCUCAGCUAAAUUCUCUGCCCCACCUUCCUGCAACACAAUGGGGUCAUUUGGCUGACACUCACUGCCGUCUAUGGAUAUAUCCUUCAUUUCUAAGCUCUAUUUCCCCUCCAUCUUAUCAAGUGUUUCCCUAAACAUCUUAUCAAGAUACACUCAGCAAAUCUAGUAGAAGGUGUGUUUCUUAUGGUCCAUACAGUACAGUAUUGUAAGUUUUACCACCGAGACUAUUACAGAGUUGAAGAUAUGCAGCCUGUAUGAGGCCUGGGAGCUGGAAAGAGUGUCUCAGUGGACGAACAGGCCCAGCACCGACUUUGUGCCAGGCACAGGACACACACCAACCCACUCUGUCCUCUGCUGUCACCCCUGAGAACGUUUUUGGUGUCAGCACCCCAGUGUACAGAGGGGGAAACUGAGACCCUUGGUCUUUCUCUGGCUCACACAGCUAAUGAAGGGGCAGAGUCCAGGCAUCCAGGCCCCAAGUGCAAAGCCCUGUCAGAACUCUGUGUGAAAGGUGGUGGGGAUUAGUGAAGUGGGGUGUGCUCCGAUUAGGCCCCCUGCACUGGUGACAUGGCUUACGUUCGGAGAACUGGGACCGAAAAAGUGAAAAGAAAGCCAGGUAAGAGCCCAGACUGCAGGGCCUUGCGCGCUGCUACAAAGAUGGCUUUUAUCCCAAGGCAGGGUACACUGUGAAAGCACGGAUAAUGGGGUAGGGGCUGUGGAGCCAGGGCAAUGCAGGAAGAGAGAGGUUCUUGGUUGGACUUAGGGUAGAGGGAAAGCGGGAUGAGUCGGGGGGAGUUUAGGACCCAGAACACAGGUUCUGGAGCAGUGGUCCUCACUAAGGGGAUGGAGUUUGCCAUCUCCCCCACCCCGUCUGUCUAUGGACAUUGGUACUGGUACAUAGUAGGUAGCUGCCAGUCAGAAGAAAGGACUUACCUAGUCCCGAUUGUCAAUAGGGAUUGAGAAAGCCUCCUGGAAGCUACUUGCUGGGAGGAACAGGGGCAGGGACAGGGGUGGGGUGAGAGGUGAUCUGCAUUGUACCAAGCUGACUCUGACAAUGAUCAGUGUGAUGUGCUCAGCAUUUCCUGACCCCAGGUCAUGGUCCUGGUCACAGAACUUGGUCCCUACCAAGGUCUUGGCCUGUGUAGAGUGUGUUUAUUCUGGGUGAUGACAUCUUCACAGGGACACCCAACUCCUGGACCCCUCUUUCACAUGUGGUAGGGACAGUUCCCUCGAGGAAACCGCCUGACUCCUCCUCACCGUUCGCUCUUAGGGAAGCAGCAAAGAUGACUUUGGAAAGCGCCGUGGUACAGGCAUAAUGUUCUAGUUCUGUUUGACCUUUCCACCCCCGGAAGCUAGUUGGUAAAAAUUUUAGUAACAAAUAAUCAAAACUUGAAAAUCAUCAGAAGCUGACCGCAUUUGAUGGGGAUGGUGGCGGGAGGUGUCAGCAGAGCUGGGAAGGAAAAGUGCCCAGAAGAGAGGGAAGGUAUCCUGGAGGUCAGUGGAAAAGGAAUUCUGCAGGCCACAGUCCUCUCCUGCUCACUCCCAUUCUAAGCCAGGCACAUCCCAAGAGGCCAGCAUCUCUCCCCCUGCUGGCCACUCACUGGUGUCGCCUGCCCCUGGCCGGCGCUUCUGCACAGAGCCUGGGGUAAGUAAUAAACAACAUUCGAAUCUCUGCAAAUCAGGCGGGGAGCCCCCUGGCUGUGGAAGGAUCAGGAAGACCGUGGACCUCCUCGUUAUCAUUUCUGUCAGCCCUGCUGCUGGGAAUCCAAGUGGGAAGAAGCAGAUGUCCUCCAGAGCCCCGAGCUACCCAGACCUGGAAAAUGUCGGCUAGCGGUCCUAGUUUUGGGAAGUAGCCUCUAGGGGGCUCCACUGACCUGAGCCGCCUCUCCAGCCACAGCUCAGGCUAGCAUCUGCUUUGGUCACACUGAGCACCCCAACCCAGCUCAGGGGGUCUCUGGACAAGCUCCUCGCCUCUGCCUGUGAGGUCCGCUCUUCAGGAAGCCUUUCUUCUGGUGGGUCAGGACUCACCAGGUUUCCUUUGACUCUGUACUUCAUGCCACUUACACCUUCAAAGGAGGGCACACCCUCCCAGAGAACUCUGCCCUUCCUGACACAGGGGAGAGAGGGGAGGCAGGGAAGGGAGUUCAGUCACAGAGCUCAGAGGUCCUGGGGUGGGGACUGCGGACUCUGUCCAAGACGUGUCCAUGAUUGCUCUUGGGUCCCAACAAACUGCGCUGUGCUGUGCUGCGCUGUGAGAUACUAGGAGUCCCUGUAGAAUAUACACAUCUGAGGGGCAGAGGUGACUGUCACUCAAUGAGUCCCCCAAGCUAGUCCAGCUCCCUCUCCUUUGACACUGAGAUGCUCAAUGCCCUUGAGUGACAGUCUCUGCUAGCCCCUCCCUGCUCCUCCCCAGCCCCUUUCCUUGGAGGCUCUGCUCACUGGAGAGCUAGGGGCUCCUGCAUGCCAUUGUCACCCAACCUUUGUCAGCCCUUGCGGGGCCACAGAACUCUUAAAGGCACAGGGUAGGAUCCUUGACUGGAGUCUCCAUGACACAAGCAAGUUGUUUAACCUCUGUGAGCCUGUUUCUUCCACCCAUUCUCCUUUGAUAGCUCAGGACUUGAGUCCCGGACCAAAGGAAGGGACGGGACUCUACACGGGGAGGAAGAAGUUGGGUGGGGGUAAAGGUCAGAGCGUCCAGGGUCCAGGCAGUGCCCUACUGACUUGGUUACAUGGUGUGAGAACAGUUGUUACUUAGGCUGUCUGAGGACUUUGUCUGCAAAGUCUGUUGGAAUCCACACUGUCCAGGGAGGUGUACAGCAACAUUUCUGUUUGCUUUUUGAGACAGGAUCUCUCUUCAUAGCCCUGUCUGUCCUGGAACUCACUAUAUAGACCAAGAUUGCCUCAAACUCACCAAGCUCCUCCUGCCUCUGCCUUCCAAGUACUGGAAUUAAAGGUGUGUGCCACCAUGCCCAGCUAUCUCUAUCUUAAAUAUGACCAAAGCAGAGGCACAGAGAGACUGGGCAACCUGCCUCAGGCUCACACUACAUGGCAGAUCUGGAUUAGGAUCUAGUCUGUCGAGCUCCGUAAGCCAUGCUUCAAGUACCCAGGCCUGGCCUUGCACAUCCCCACUGCCUUUUCACCCCACCAGUCAGGCAGCACUGCCUGGGCCUCUCAGAGUCCCGUUUAUCUAUAUCCUACUGAAGGAGCCCCAGAGUCUGCUCACUCAGGUUCAGGAAUCUGCUCCACUCAGGACCAACCUUCAAGUCCACAUGUUCACAAUGACCUGAAAGUGCCGUGAAUCAAAAGUGCCAGGAUUUGAGGACACUCAAGGUAGGAGAUGUCAUACUGCUUGCUGAUCCUUAGGGACACUGAGGCCAGCAUGGGCCAAGCCUUGCCUAAGGAUAUACUGCCUGCCAGUGAUAUGGCAGGACAGACUCUGACACAGUCCUAUACCAGUGCAGAAGCCAGGAGCUUGUCCAGAGGCUUCGUGAGCUGGUUGGGGUACUCAGUGUGACCAAAGCAGAAGUUUGUAGAAGAUUUCACUGUGUGACUCAGGUUUUACCCUGGGGUCCCCCUAUCUGCUGAGUAUAAUGUGGGGUCUCUUAAGACCUGCUGUUUAUCACCUUCACCCAGAACCUUGACUGCUGCUGACUUUGCCCCUAUAAGACACGCAUAUCCCCUUCAAGCCACAUUUAUUCCUCAGUGACCAUACUGGCCCCAAGUCACACAACCAGAGAGACACUAUGUUCUUCCACGGGCUUUUCAGGCUCCUGCCCCCCAGCCAGCCUUCUGCUCUGCAGAGCCCCCUGUCCCCACAGAGAUGAGUGGCCCAGGGGCCCUUUGACCCCCAAAGC